GACGAACGCUGGCGGCGUGCUUAGCACAUGCAAGUCGAACGGAAAGGCCCUGCUUUUGUGGGGUGCUCGAGUGGCGAACGGGUGAGUAACACGUGAGUAGCCUGCCCUUGACUUUGGGAUAACUUCAGGAAACUGGGGCUAAUACCGGAUAGGAGCUCCUGCUGCAUGGUGGGGGUUGGAAAGUUUCGGCGGUUGGGGAUGGACUCGCGGCUUAUCAGCUUGUUGGUGGGGUAGUGGCUUACCAAGGCUUUGACGGGUAGCCGGCCUGAGAGGGUGACCGGCCACAUUGGGACUGAGAUACGGCCCAGACUCCUACGGGAGGCAGCAGUGGGGAAUAUUGCACAAUGGGCGGAAGCCUGAUGCAGCAACGCCGCGUGCGGGAUGACGGCCUUCGGGUUGUAAACCGCUUUCGCCUGUGACGAAGCGUGAGUGACGGUAAUGGGUAAAGAAGCACCGGCUAACUACGUG
rnacentral:rRNA from 1 species